GGAGUGCAGAGUAUGCACACAACUCCUAAAUGAAGCAACGGGGAGAAAAAUUUCUGAAAUUCAAGUCCAACUGUUCAGAAAAUCCUACCUUUGCAAGGUGCAAUUUCAGAGGAAUGGGCUGCAAGGACAAAACCAGUCGAGUGAAGAAUUGCAAUGAUCGGAGAAUCAGUAAAAACAUCUGUGUAAAAACAGAACAAAAGAGAAUGAAGCAAAACGUCAAUCUCUCUGAUGGACGCAAGGUCACUUGGAAACUUCUAUUAAUACCAUCUUCCCACCUUGUGCAUAUCCUCAGUGACUUCCUUAUGAAAACGCUUGAUUGUUCUCCGGAGAUAAG